GCAGUUGUUUUAUAGCCUUACGUAUCAACAUUGAGAGGAUAAAGAUAAUAAAGGAGCGAAAGCUGUGAGGUCCUAAUUCCAGAAGGGCGUUUUGGUGAAGUGCGCUGACUUCCUGCAGAUUCACCCGGUGCGUGAGCGCGGGCGCGCAUUUCCUGCAGUUGUUACCCCAAAAGGCAAGUAGACUCCAUACCCAAAUAAAGAAGAUUGAUCACAGCAAAGUGCAACACCAUGACAACUUGAACUUCGUGAAAGUGAACAGCUUUUCCUGCUUUUAUCUCCAGGAGUUGAAGUCAUUUGACAGGUGGUUCACAGUUCCACAAAUGUAUAGGAUUUGUGCCCCCAGGAGCUGCGCUAAGUGGUUUAUACUCAUCUGUACCUGAUUUAGAACAUUUAGGGGCUGAAUUCUGUCUCGCUCAUUGAGCUUGGAGAAGACUUCCAGCCUCAAAUGAAACAACAGCCCUGGAUGACACUAAAUUCAGCUUUGUAAGACCCUGAAUACCAGCAAAAUGUGCCAGACUCCUAACAGUAUUAUAAUAAAUGUAUGUUGUUUUAAGCCAGUAAGUCUAUGGUGAUCUGUUACACAGCAAUAGAAAACUAACACACUCUUACGCGGUAUUUCUUUUUAGCUGGUUGCCUUGUAGAUUUUCUCUUUAUACUUGUUUUUCCAAAUGUUGACUGUGGUGAUCCUAGAUAUGUUUCAUUUUUAUUUACCCUUCUUGAUUCCUGAGAUUAUUCUUUGUGUUUUGUUUACUUCAUUUACUUUUGGAGAAUGUUUAAUCGUUAUCCCUCCAAACAUUUUUUUUAACUCCAUUUACUCUUCUCCUCCUGAGAUUCAAAUUAUGUGUACAUUGGCACCGUUUAAUUUUCCGUAAGUAUUUCUCCACCAACCAGUGGAUGCUGUAUUUUGUUGUUCAGUUUUAUC